GACGAACGCUGGCGGCGUGCCUAAUACAUGCAAGUAGAACGCUGAAGGAGGAGCUUGCUUCUCUGGAUGAGUUGCGAACGGGUGAGUAACGCGUAGGUAACCUGCCUGGUAGUGGGGGAUAACUAUUGGAAACGAUAGCUAAUACCGCAUAAUAGCAGUUGUUGCAUGAUAACUGUUUGAAAGGUGCAAUUGCACCGCUACCAGAUGGACCUGCGUUGUAUUAGCUAGUUGGUGGGGUAACGGCUCACCAAGGCGACGAUACAUAGCCGACCUGAGAGGGUGAUCGGCCACACUGGGACUGAGACACGGCCCAGACUCCUACGGGAGGCAGCAGUAGGGAAGCUUAGGCAAUGGACGGAAGUCUGACCGAGCAACGCCGCGUGAGUGAAGAAGGUUUUCGGAUCGUAAAGCUCUGUUGUAAGAGAAGAACGAGUGUGAGAGUGGAAAGUUCACACUGUGACGGUAGCUUACCAGAAAGGGACGGCUAACUACGUG
rnacentral:rRNA from 1 species